GGCGAAACAUAAGACUAGAGCAUUACGAGCUAGCUUCCUAUAACUCUUUCUAAAUCCCGGGAAGAAUGUAUCCGCUUGGUAGGCAUAAGUGGUGUAAAGUGGCGCAAAACAAAAGAUUUUAGAAUGUCACAUUUUGUUUGUAUUCAGCCUUUGACCUAAUCUUUAUACUCGCCCCAUUUCUUGGACUCCUUACAGGUAUUCCACUCGUUGGUGUGGGUGCUUUACCUGAGUCUAUCUCUGAAGGUCUGGCUUCUAACUAUAACAACUAUCAAGUCGCCUUCGCUACUCUCUUUCUUCUUUUUGGAUUGAAAGCGCGUACUCUCUUCCAAAGAACAUGAACUGAAAGCAGCAAGCUUUUGCCCUUGCGCCAGAGGAAUGGAAAGAAACAUAUUCUAUUUGAUCUCUAAGUCCGUACAUAGCAAUCC
rnacentral:lncRNA from 1 species